rnacentral:rRNA from 1 species
UACGUAGGGUGCAAGCGUUGUCCGGAAUUAUUGGGCGUAAAGAGCGCGCAGGCGGUCGUUCAAGUCGAGUGUGAAAGCCCCCGGCUCAACUGGGGAGGGUCACUCGAUACUGAUCGACUUGAAGGCGGGAGAGGGAAGCGGAAUUCCCGGUGUAGUGGUGAAAUGCGUAGAUAUCGGGAGGAACACCAGUGGCGAAGGCGGCUUUCUGGCCCGUUCUUGACGCUGAGGCGCGAAAGCUAGGGUAGCAAACGGG